rnacentral:rRNA from 1 species
UACGGGGGGGGCAAGCGUUGUUCGGAAUUACUGGGCGUAAAGGGCUCGUAGGCGGCCAACUAAGUCAGACGUGAAAUCCCUCGGCUUAACCGGGGAACUGCGUCUGAUACUGGAUGGCUUGAGUGUGGGAGAGGGAUGCGGAAUUCCGGGUGUAGUGGUGAAAUGCGUAGAGAUCCGGAGGAACACCAGUGGCGAAGGCGACACGCUGGGCCGUACCUGACACUGAUGCGCGACAGCAUGGGGAGCAAACAGG